CUCCUAGUGGCCUCAGAGCGCAUCAACAGCCUCGCCUCUAUGCUGAAGACAAAUCUGGAAAGUUUGGCCACAUUCGCAGGGUCAGACCUCGAAGGUGGAGUCUGUCAGCAUCCCACAAUUCCUGCAAAACAAGUGUCUUUGUUGCCGGCUAAUCAUGUGACCAUGACUAAGGGAACGGGAUUGGUCCACACAGCUCCUGCCCACGGCAUGGAGGACUACGGUGUUGCUACACACUUUAAUCUGCCAGUAGAGUGCAUAGUGGAUGAGGAGGGUAGGUUUACAGAACUGGCUGGGCCUGAACUGCAGAAGAAAUCUGUGAUG